CUGCAGCUCACUCUGCACUCCUGUGGUCUUCCCACAUCCAUCAUCUCCCUCUGCAAAAGGACAGCUCCCGUCUGAUGUGCUGACGGCCGGCCCGCAGGGAAGGGGCCUGCUCCCUCUAGUCACCACUGGCAAGGAGCGUGGUGUUUCCACCAAACCCAUCAGUUGUAAUAGAAGAGUCAUCUGUUUGGAUGAAUGUGUUGUGCUGCUGCUCUGUGGGGGGAGUGCGGGUGUGUGAUCUCCGUCUCUCUCCUGCACACACACCUGAGCACCUGCUUCAGAGAGAAGAGCCCUUAGUGUACACGGAGCAUUUCACCGAAUCCUCGAGCCUGCACCCCCACUUCGCCAAGAACACGUCCCUGCACACCCACGCCGGAAGGGCUCAGGCCGGACGGCAACCUCAGCCUGUCUCCACCCCCGCCCCGGUCUCAGUUCAAAGGACAACGGAACGGGCAGAGGACGGAUUUGUUUCCCCAGAGCACAGCUGACACGACCGCACGUGUCCACUAAAGCACCUACAGUAGUAACCGCCCCCGAGGACGGCAGCACUCGCAGCCUCUGGUGCAGCACCACACGUUGUCGUAGAGACGGACGGUGGAUGCCUCCGUGAACGGGGAGGUUCAGCGAGGGCUCUCUGACUUCAUGCCCCCGGGCUUCAGACCACCGAGUCAUCCCAGUGCCACGGCAAUGCCUCUCUGGUGGUCGUGGACGACACAGCCUGCGUCAAACCAGACAGCUCCGUACUGGUCAGUAUGCAACGUCGUUCCUGCUCAGACACAGCACUAGGAUGCGUGGACGACUUGGAAUUUCUCUCAAGGGAGACAGACAUUGGCCAGUGGUGGCUUGGGGUGACGGAGUCCUUAGUCUGAAGGCCAGCUUCCAGCUCCAACAGGCCUUGUCAUCUGUGUCAUUCUAAGGGUGACACUCAAAGGACAUGGUGCUGUUUUAAUUAUUGUUUAAAAUUUAAGUAAAAGAUUGAGAGGCGUAGACAGGUAGAUGGAUGAUAGGGAGUUCCCAUCUGCUGGUUCGCUCCCCAAAUGUUCACUACAGCCAGGCUGGCUGGAGCAGGCAGACGCCAGGAGUUGAUCAUCCCAUCAGAUCUCGCACGUGGUCGGAAGGCGCUGCUGAGCCAUCUGCUUUAGCCGUCGCUGCUGCUCCCAGGGCCCACACGGCGGAAAUCUGGAGUCAGAGCCGGAGCUGGGAAUUGAACCCAGGUUCUCCAGAGGGGACGUGGGUGCUUUACACGUGAGGCUAACGGCCCCUCCAGGCUGAGGUGUUCCGAUAGAGACGUUUGUGUGCCCUGUAGCCCUGGCUGUGCCAUUUCCUCUUUCUUCUUCCCUUGCAAUGGGAAAGGCGACUCUGUUGACCUUUGGUUGCCUUUUCUGAAAGCCGCGCCGACUCGGAGCCUUGCAGCCAUGCUCGGCUCGUCCCGGCACUUUCUGCUCAGGCCAGCUUGCACCUCACAACGUUCCCCACUGAUCUUGAUUU
rnacentral:lncRNA from 1 species